rnacentral:lncRNA from 10 species
AAAAAGGCUUCCUGCCAGUGGCAAGGAGCUACUUUAUCACUGGCUGCCACUCAUCUUUGAGAAGGACAGCCCAAAAGAGCUGGCUUAGGCUUGCCAGAAACUCUCCCAGGCCACAUGGAAAGCCAGGUGACCCUGUAGUACCUGCCCAGUGUGACUCAAGCCCCGAGUAGAAGAAAAGCAAGUUCCAACCUGCAGGCCAAGCCUGGCAUGCAGUGGGGCUGUGCGCAGACUGCCAUCCUUGGCACCAAUGGUGCCAAAUUUCUUGCCAAAUGGGCUUGAGUUUCAACAUGUUGGGAGAGCACAGGAGCCUGUGAGCAUAACUUUGCUGUCAACCCUGAAGCAGGGCCAAAGAAGAUCCUAGAGAGUCCAGCAGUACAGCAGAUGGAAGGGACAGGCAUGGAUGUUGGGCUCCUGGGGAUUCAGCCCUCUUUGGGCAAAGCAGAACACCAUCUAACACCAGAGGACUAGACUGCGGCCGGAGCAUUGCCCGAGCCAUCCCAGGGGAUGGAGGUGAGUUUUUGUUUUACCUGUGAGAUCUUAGAACUUAGGCUAGGUAGGUUUGUAGAAGUGGUCUUGUCUACAGUGUGCACCUUCAUUGUACAGAUGGGGAAAUGGAGGCCCAGAAAGAAAAGGAGACUUUCCUAAGGUCACAUACUGGAGCUCGUGGUGCAGCUAGACUGCAACCUAAUGUGGUGGUAUUUUCGUUUCCCAUAUUACUUGGUCCUCUCAAAUGACUAUAAAAUUAUAAAGGGUUUACAAUUUUAAGGGAUUAGUUUUCUAAGGGAACUCUUGUUUUCCAUCAACUCUGUGAAGUCUUGGGGGUCCUUCAGUAACCAGGGGACUAUAGAAUCCUUUUGAUCCUAAGAAUAGGAAUUAGGUCAGAUUUUUCUCUUUCUGGGCAAACCCCUUCCUACUUAGUUGAAAUCCCUUGAAACUCUAGUCAAUAGUGAAUGAGAGGCCAGCUGAACAGGACAACCCACUGUCUCCAUCACCAGAACGUUCUCCGCUCAAAACUUUGUUGUAUAUGCCUCAAUAUGUUGCCUAUAUCUAUAAUCUGUAUCAUCUAUCACUGUCUCUCUUAUAUACAUUGUAUUUUUCCAUGACAUUACAUCUUCUCUGAUAUGUG